rnacentral:rRNA from 1 species
AUUGAACGCUGGCGGCAGGCCUAACACAUGCAAGUCGAGCGCGAAAGUUCUUCGGAAUGAGUAAAGCGGCGGACGGGUGAGUAAUACAUGGGAAUUUGCCUGGUAGUGGGGGACAACGUUUCGAAAGGAACGCUAAUACCGCAUACGCCCUACGGGGGAAAGGGGGGGAUCUUCGGACCUCUCGCUAUCAGAUGAGCCCA